rnacentral:misc_RNA from 1 species
CCGAUGCCGUAAACCACCACAAGCCCCACCUCCAGAACCUCCUCCACUCCGCCGGCGCCCUACUCCUACGCGGCUUCCCCGUCCGCACCGCCGCCGACUUCAACGAUGCCGUUGAGGCCUUCGGGUACGAUGAGCUCCCCUACGUCGGCGGCGCCGCCUCCCGCACUAAAGUCGUCGGCCGCAUUUUCACCGCCAACGAGUCGCCGCCGGAUCAGAAGAUCCCCUUUCACCACGAGAUGGCACAGGUACCAGAGUUCCCGUCAAAGGUGUUUUUCUUCUGUGAAGUGGAGCCGGGGAGUGGAGGUGAGACUCCUAUUGUGCUGAGUCAUCAGGUUUAUGCG